rnacentral:tmRNA from 1 species
GGGAGUGUAAAGGUUUCGACAGGGUUACAAGGUCAUAGGUAGCAGGCCAGGUUUGUCGCUGUAAAAGACUAACUCAUCGUUUAGAUGGAAACAAAAAUUACGCUUUAGCUGCUUAGUUCAGCUACACCUUAAAUAACUUUCUCUGCAUGAGUUUUUUAAAGGUGUUGAUUAAUGCAGAUUACUGUAAAUGACUUCUCUAAAUUUACAGGAAAAUACAGAGAAUAGUUUUAAUUAGCCCUGUUUACGGGAAUAAUUAUUACGAAAUUAAAUAGUAAACUAAGCUUGUAGAAGCUUAUGGUUUCUGUAGUUUUGGACACGGGUUCAAUUCCCGUCACUUCCACCA